rnacentral:rRNA from 1 species
CUGGGUCUAAUACCGAAUAUGACCAUGCGCCUCCUGGUGUGUGGUGGAAAGCUUUUGCGGUGUGGGAUGGGCCCGCGGCCUAUCAGCUUGUUGGUGGGGUAAUGGCCUACCAAGGCGACGACGGGUAGCCGGCCUGAGAGGGUGACCGGCCACACUGGGACUGAGAUACGGCCCAGACUCCUACGGGAGGCAGCAGUGGGGAAUAUUGCACAAUGGGCGCAAGCCUGAUGCAGCGACGCCGCGUGAGGGAUGACGGCCUUCGGGUUGUAAACCUCUUUCAGCACAGACGAAGCGCAAGUGACGGUAUGUGCAGAAGAAGGACCGGCCAACUACGUGCCAGCAGCCGCGGUAAUACGUAGGGUCCGAGCGUUGUCCGGAAUUACUGGGCGUAAAGAGCUCGUAGGUGGUUUGUCGCGUUGUUCGUGAAAACUCACAGCUUAACUGUGGGCGUGCGGGCGAUACGGGCAGACUUGAGUACUGCAGGGGAGACUGGAAUUCCUGGUGUAGCGGUGGAAUGCGCAGAUAUCAGGAGGAACACCGGUGGCGAAGGCGGGUCUCUGGGCAGUAACUGACGCUGAGGAGCGAAAGCGUGGGGAGCGAACAGGAUUAGAUACCCUGGUAGUCCACGCCGUAAACGGUGGGUACUAGGUGUGGGUUUCCUUCCUUGGGAUCCGUGCCGUAGCUAACGCAUUAAGUACCCCGCCUGGGGAGUACGGCCGCAAGGCUAAAACUCAAAGAAAUUGACGGGGGCCCGCACAAGCGGCGGAGCAUGUGGAUUAAUUCGAUGCAACGCGAAGAACCUUACCUGGGUUUGACAUGCACAGGACGACUGCAGAGAUGUGGUUUCCCUUGUGGCCUGUGUGCAGGUGGUGCAUGGCUGUCGUCAGCUCGUGUCGUGAGAUGUUGGGUUAAGUCCCGCAACGAGCGCAACCCUUGUCCUAUGUUGCCAGCGGGUUAUGCCGGGGACUCGUAGGAGACUGCCGGGGUCAACUCGGAGGAAGGUGGGGAUGACGUCAAGUCAUCAUGCCCCUUAUGUCCAGGGCUUCACACAUGCUACAAUGGCCGGUACAAAGGGCUGCGAUGCCGUGAGGUGGAGCGAAUCCUUUCAAAGCCGGUCUCAGUUCGGAUCGGGGUCUGCAACUCGACCCCGUGAAGUCGGAGUCGCUAGUAAUCGCAGAUCAGCAACG